rnacentral:lncRNA from 1 species
UCAAUGUCACAUCUUUAUUAUAUAAUAGAAGUUCUGUACAAAAUAGCUUAAUAAAUACAUCAUAUGACAACGAUCCUCCGCAACUUUAGUUGACUGGAAGACGAUGGCCUAAACCUCUUCGAACUCAUCGUAGCAUCCUUCAUGCUCCUCCAACGGUACCUAUACUUGACCUGGUGUGAUUAUAGCAAGGGUGGGCUCCCAUACGGUUAUCGCUCAACAAGUGUGGAGAAAAGUGUAGUGUAAGGCUUACCAAGGAGAAUGGUUAAGGCUGAGCAUUGCUGUUAGUGUUCGUCAAAAUUUUAUUAACAAUUACUAGGUAUAAGUAAAAACCAACCCAAUUAAAUAAUUGAUCACAAUUAAUAAUAAAUCCAAGAAUGCAAUGAAAAUAACAUGUUAAGUUUAAUUCCAUAAAUUACUCUUGUGAGGGUCCGAGCCGCUCUUGACCUUGAGCACGGCUAAUAUACCAGUUUUACACUCUGUAGAGGUUGCACAUCUUUAUCCACAAGCCGUGUUACCCAUUUGCCAAGGGAUCACGACUUCCCAUUCAUCUCUACCGAGAAGACGAGGUAGGGUCCCACUACGAGGCCUUUACAAAGUUCCACUAGCUUCAAAAAACCCGCUACGGUUUCUGCAAGAAUGGACGAUAUAGGAAUCCCUCUUCCAAAAAGCCAUCAUAGCAUGAUUGACCUGAGAACCUCCCUAUACCGACAGCUCCUCACACCACGAUUGUCCCUUUCGGGUAAGGUAGUCGUCCACUAGCUUUUUUAUUUAGUCAGCCAAGGGCGUUCCAUACCACCCUUGUGGUAACACUAUUUUUCAGGUGGUUCUCCAUGUUCCAAUUAACACAAUGAUCUUAUCAUGAACAAUAAUAGAUGACCAACUAUACUAAAUAAUAAUCGAACAUGGUCAUGAAUCAUAAGUAUCAUUAAUCCCAAAACCAGGUCGAGCAAUAGCAAGUCUACCCAAUAAGUCAUUUGUUUGUAAGGUGCAGGGUAAACAAACUAGGUAACCUAUUAGGUCUCAUUAGCUUAACCUAACAGUGCCACAGUGAUUAACGAAACAUUAUUAGAUAAAAGAAUGUGAUCAAGGACACAACUUGCCUUUGUGGUGCAACUUCAGGUAUUUCUCCAAGUUUGAGCUUCAGGUUCCUCAUGACCUCGCUUCUAUUCGUAGCAACACAUACAAAUAAACAAAUAAUGGCUAUGAUAACAUUACACCAAUGCAUUAGAACAAACAGCGUAAGAAUAUUCUACGCAUCAACACGAAUCUGUAGGUUCAAGAACCGCUAAAUUCAGAGUUAAAAUGAAUUAGGUAUGAGUUUUAUAAGUCAUAUGAAUUAUUUUAUAUUAAAAUCAACAUUUUAGAUUUAAUUUAAUAAGAUCUGGACUAUGGUUAUUAAUUAUAUAGUGACUAGGGGCUAAACUAUAAGAAUCAUGGACCUUACUUAUAUUCUCUUGAACCAGGUAUGGACAACGAGUUUAUUUCGUAAAAACAUAGGGACUCUUUUGCAACUUUCCUCGACCGAAGGGGUAUCGUGAUGCCUCAGUCGCCCGAUUAUAAAUUUAUGGCGCUGAUUAAUUUGUCACCCUACUGAACCGGUACACAACCGGAUCCGUUGGAUCUCGAAUCAAUAGCAUGAGAGACGUCCACGUCUCAAACUACUCUGCACCCUCCAUCAUCGGUCCUACGAUUCAUAUUAUAAACAAGCAAUGGGUUAUGAGUAAUCUAAUCAUAGCCGUCCAUUCCAGAUCGAUGGCCCAAAAUUCAUCUUCCCACUCGUCGGACAACAAGCGGUGAUGCCGCAUGCCCACGACGACUGAUCACCGAUGAAUCUCGUUUGUGCAUUCUGGUGUUCUAACGACUACAUGGAUAAGUGCUAACCGAUCCUGAGUAUAUGGCGAACUAGUGGUGCGGGCUCUCACCUUCAAUUUGGGUGCCAGAGCAUGUAGACCGCGCGGCACCACGGUUUGGCGAAACGACGAGUCUCCGAUGAGGAAUCCCCAGUGACCUAGUCGACCUCCGGCUUCAACGACUUCGUGCAUGGUUUCCCUACGCCCUAGUGAACUCCAUAGACCACUGACAAAAUCCUGAGUGAUAACGUAAGCAAGUGGUCACGACAACGGCUAUCUUGCGAUGCGUUCUUAUCUACGACUCUCGGUGGCGGCUGCUUGCGGUGGCGGUGGC